rnacentral:lncRNA from 13 species
GGAGAGGAGAGCCAGAGAAGUGACAGGGAAGCUACAGGUUACAACAGAUUUGUGAACUCAGCCAAGCACAGUGGUGGCAGGGCCUAGCUGCUACAAAGAAGACAUGAUUUAGACAAAUACUCAUGUGUAUGGACAAAAAACUCGAGGACUGUAUUUGUGACUAAUUGUAUAACAGGUUAUUUUAGUUUCUGUUCUGUGGAAAGUGUAAAGCAUUCCAACAAAGGGUUUUAAUGUAGAUUUUUUCUUUUUCUUUUUUUUUUUUGCACCCAUGCUGUUGAUUGCUAAAUGUAAUAGUCUGAUCGUGACGCUGAAUAAAUGUCUUUAAAAAAAAAAAUACAAAAAAUUAGCAGGCUGUGUUAGUGCAUGCCUGUAGUCCCAGCUACUCAGGAUGCUGAGGCCGGCUAAUUGUUUGAACCUGGGAAGCAGAGGUUUUGGUGAGCCAAGAUUGAGCCACUGCACUCCAGCCUGGGCAACAGAGCAAGACCUUGUCUCAAAUAAAUAAAUAAGGCAUUCAAAUGAAACAAACAAACAAAAAAACUAGAAAAGAAAUUUUUCAAGAAAAACAACAAAAAAAGGAAUAAAAAAUAAGGCAUUCAGUAAGUCCCACAGAUGGGUAGGGUUGGCGGAAAUAUGGCACAUAGAUCAGAUCCAAAACCAGAAUGUAUCUAUUCCACAAAGGACAAAUUGCUGCCCUAGCUACGAUGGAAUGGUCCAAGUUACCAACGUGUCACAAGGUUGCUGGCUGACUCCACCAAAAUAUGGUGCCCUAUUGAGAUGUCAGGGUUGGUGACUGCUGGGGCCAAGCUGGACACUCAGCAGAGACAGCAGCCAGAUCCAUCUGACUUCUGCACUGGCUACCCUGAGGAUGUAAUAAGAAUGGCCACUUGGCGAGUACUGUUGCUCACACCUGUAAUCCCAGCACUUUGGGAGGCCAAGCUGGGAGGAUUGCUUGAGCCCAGAAGUUUGAGAUCACCGUGGACAACAUAGCAAGAACUCAUGUCUACAAAAAAUUAGCUGGGCAUGGUGGUGUGCACCUGUGGUCCCAGCCACUUGGGAAGCUAAGGUGGGCUAUUGCUUACGCUUGGGAGGUGGAGGUAGUGAGCCAUGAUCAUGCCAUUGCACUUCAGCCUGGGCAACAGAGCGAGACUCUAUUUCAAAUAAACAAACAAAACAAAAUGAUUACUUGUAGAAG